rnacentral:rRNA from 1 species
AGAGGAAGUAAAAGUCGUAACAAGGUUUCCGUAGGUGAACCUGCGGAAGGAUCAUUAUUGAAUAAACCUGAUGUGACUGUUAGCUGGCUUUUCGAAGCAUGUGCUCGUCCAUCAUCUUUAUCUCUCCACCUGUGCACAUUUUGUAGUCUUGGAUACCUCUCGAGGAAACUCGGAUUUUAGGAUCGCCGUGCUGUACAAGUCGGCUUUUCUUUCAUUUCCAAGACUAUGUUUUUAUAUACACCAAAGUAUGUUUAUAGAAUGUCAUCAAUGGGAACUUGUUUCCUAUAAAAUUAUACAACUUUCAGCAACGGAUCUCUUGGCUCUCGCAUCGAUGAAGAACGCAGCGAAAUGCGAUAAGUAAUGUGAAUUGCAGAAUUCAGUGAAUCAUCGAAUCUUUGAACGCACCUUGCGCUCCUUGGUAUUCCGAGGAGCAUGCCUGUUUGAGUGUCAUUAAAUUCUCAACCUUCCAACUUUUAUUAGCUUGGUUAGGCUUGGAUGUGGGGGUUGCGGGCUUCAUCACUGAGGUCGGCUCUCCUUAAAUGCAUUAGCGGAACUUUUGUGGACCRUCUAUUGGUGUGAUAAUUAUCUACGCCGUGGAUGUGAAGCAGCUUUAUGAAGUUCUGCUUCUAACCGUCCAUUGACUUGGACAAUUUUGACAAUUUGACCUCAAAUCAGGUAGGACUACCCGCUGAACUUAAGCAUAUCA